UUUAUUCAUGAGAGACACAGCGAGAGAGACAGAGACAUAGGCAGAGACACAGGUAGAGGGAGAAGCAGGCCCCAUGCAGGGAACCCGAUAUGGGACUCCAUCCCAGGACCCCGGGAUCACAACCUCAGCCAAAGGUAGACGCUCAAUCUCUGAGCCACGCAGGUGCCCCAAUUCUAUACCCUUUAAAUAUCUGUCUGAAUCAGACUACAGAUGGCCAGAGAAGUGACUCUUGGACUCUCUUCUAAUGCCAGAGGCAUGCUUUCAUGUCCCAGAGACUUUAGGUCAAGGAAAUGGAGGAUCAACAUUCUCUCUCACACGCAAUUCCAUUUUAUUAUUCGGUUAUCAUGAUAACCAUGAUGCUAACGAUGAUGGCAAAGAUGAUAAAAGAACGCCACCUCAUCGUGACACCCGAUAGUCCCCAAGUCCAAGGAGAGAACAGCAGGCUGAAAGGUGACUUGUGUCUCUAGAAUAAACGCAGCAGAGUUCGGGACAAAUAAACGGUAGUUGGGAUAUAGGGGCAAUUGUUAUGUGAAUUGACUAAAGAAUCAAGCUCAAGUUCUUUAGCAGAGGCUAUAGGAUCUCCUGUGGAUGGGUACCCACCUUGCUCUUCACUCCAUCUUCUGUGCUCUGCCCCUCCCCCAAGGCCCCUGCAACGCUGGGUUGGGUCUAGUUCCCCCUACCAAAGGAGGCUUUCCGUGUGCUUGUUCCGAUCCCUCUGCCUGGAAUGCCCAUCAACUUUUUUCCACUGCCAUCUCUUCAUGCCUUGGGUUGGGCAUUAUCUCCUGCAGAAGCUUUUUCCAAUACUCCACCCCUCACCUGAUCUAAUCUGCCCUCAUGUGCUGUACUUACCUCUACCUCAGUGUGGACCAGCAGCUUUGGAACCUCUGCGGGGCGGGUGUCUUACUCCCUACAGCCCCAGCACCUAGCAUAGGGCCUGACCCAGACCAAGCACUUAGUACAUGUUUCUACUUAUCGCAGUUUGAGACAUCCGCUGUGGAUUGAAGUUUUUUAGACUCACACCGGCAUCCCAAACCAGACACAAACUUCGGUGGACUUUGGUUUACCCUCUAGUUAACAAACACUAAUCCAGCAUGUGUGAGGCACUCAAAGCCAAGCAGUCCUCUCCGAAACCAGAGAGAAGUAUUACUGUUUCUGUGAUACUGAAAGCCUUUUUGCUUCAUUGUCAUCUACUUUCUCCUUCCUUUGAGUCUCAUCCUAAGGGUGCAGGUAGCGACUGACCCGGUCCCGGGACAACUCCACUGUGGCUCGGUCCUGCAGGCCACCACUCCCACUCCCCGAGGACCCUCUUCCUCCCAUGCAGUGGGCAGUGGGUGUUCGGGGACUGUUCAACAGAAAGCCCCAGGACCCCCCCCUCUGCUCUGGGCUGCUCCCAUCUGCAGGAGCCUUCGGUGGACCAGAGUGGGCUACUGAUACCUUCCCCAGGGUAAUGACCGAGAGGAACUGAGCCCACUGAUGCAGCACUCCUGACACUGUGUCAGCCACCCACCAAGCACUGGCAUUGGACCAUGCAGUCCAAGCCAUAGUCCAGAGGAUGUGCUAACCUUCUUCCCCAUUGGAAGACACACCAAUGGUGUGUUAUGAUGAGAAGAGGAGGGGAAAAAAAAAGAACAUGGGCUUGGAAGUCUGAAAACACUUCUGUCUCUUCUAAGCUAUUCAUCCUUGGGAAAACUGCUUGGCUUUCUCAGCUCCAGUUUUCCUACCUAUAAAAUGGAAUUAAUAAAGCCCACCCAUAAUGCUAAUAAGGGCCAAAAAAUUUGAUAGAAGUUACCAAUAUAUGCAUAAAUCUGAAGUGCCUACCCCUGGCAAACAGCAGGGACCCAAUGAAUAGUAAAGAUAAUAAUAAUAAUAAAAUGUAAAGGUCUGAAUUUGGAUCUAAAAACCCAACAGCGUAGAAUGGGGUGAAAGAGAUGUGACUCAGCAAUGAACUGUUUGGGGUUUGGGUUGGUAAGCAGCUCAAGAGGAGCCAGCAGCUGAUGAGAGAUGCCACUGCAUUCACAAAGCGGUGACAGGCUCACCCGGCUCUGUCCUUGGUC
rnacentral:lncRNA from 1 species